AGUAAAUAAAAAUCUAUGAAAUUUGACACAAGGUUUAUGACCACAAAAGGAAGGUUGGGAUUGAUUUUGGUAGUUUUGGUUCCAACUGUUUUAGAAUUAGAGGCCAAAAAAGGCCCAAAUAAGCAUUAUUCUUGGUUUUCGCAAAACGUCGUAGUCCGAAGACUUUUUGUUUUCGCGCUAUAACUUUCGUUGAGUAAAUAGAAAUCUAUGAAAUUUAAACACAAGGUUUAUGACCACAAAAGGAAGAUUGGGAUUGAUUUUGGAAGUUUUGGUCCCAACUGUUUAGGAAUAAGGGGCCAAAAAAGGGCCCAAAUAAGCAUUAUUCUUGGUUUUUUGCACAAUAACUUUAGUAUAAGUAAAUAGAAAUCAAUGAAAUUUAAACACAGGGUUGAUGAACACAAAAGGAUGGUUGGUAUUGAUAUUGGGAGUUUUGGUCCCAACAGUUUAGGAAUAAGGGGCCCAAAGGAUCGUAAAUUAAACUUUGUUUGAUUUCAUCAAAAAUUGAAUAAUUGGGGUACUUUGAUUUGCCAAAUCUAACUGUGUAUGUAGAUUCUUAAUUUUUGGUCCCGUUUUCAAAUUGGUCUACAUUAAAGUCC
rnacentral:lncRNA from 1 species